GCCCGCCUAGCUCAAUCGGAUAGAGCGUCAGACUCUUACGGCGGGUAUCUGAAGGCUGCGAGUUCGACCCUCGCGGUGGGCU